rnacentral:rRNA from 90 species
UAAGGUCACGGCGAGACGAGCCGUUUAUCAUUAUGAUAGGUGUCAAGUGGAAGUGCAGUGAUGUAUGCAGCUGAGGCAUCCUAACAGACCGAGAGAUUUGAAC